UCCAUUGCAUCCCUGCCCUGCCGCGCCUAUAUUGCACAUGCUCGCAAGGGCUAUGGCGAUAAAUGGCCAUCGUAAUAAACCUUUCGGACCCGGGGGCAGUACCCGGCGCCUCCACCAUGAGGGGGCGAAACAGGAUCGACGAGGGCGUAAAGGGUGUGUUUUCGCUCGGUGAGGUACCACCGUUAUCGGUCCGAAAACUUAUAGUUGCCAAUGACAACCAUAAGGCUCCGGUCGCUCUCGCCGCGUAAUGCGGUGCUAGCACUGGGAAUUUAAGUCCUCCGCUCCUAGCCGGGCGACAGGCGGGGUCCGCAGGCACCUGGCAACAGAAGCCUGCACC
rnacentral:tmRNA from 1 species